AGUGGCGAACGGGUGAGUAACACGUGGGCAACCUGCCCAAAAGAGGGGGAUAACACUUGGAAACAGGUGCUAAUACCGCAUAACCAUAGUUACCGCAUGGUAACUAUGUAAAAGGUGGCUAUACUACCGCUUUUGGAUGGGCCCGCGGCGCAUUAGCUAGUUGGUAGGGUAAAGGCUUACCAAGGCAAUGAUGCGUAGCCGAAUUGAGAGGUUGAUCGGCCACAUUGGGACUGAGACACGGCCCAAACUCCUACGGGAGGCAGCAGUAGGGAAUCUUCCACAAUGGGCGAAAGCCUGAUGCAGCGACGCCGCGUGAGCGAUGAAGUAUUUCGGUAUGUAAAGCUCUAUCAGCAGGGAAGAAAAUGACGGUACCUGACUAAGAAGCCCCGGCUAACUACGUGCCAGCAGCCGCGGUAAUACGUAGGUGGCAAGCGUUAUCCGGAUUUAUUGGGCGUAAAGGGAACGCAGGCGGUCUUUUAAGUCUGAUGUGAAAGCCUUCGGCUUAACCGGAGUAGUGCAUUGGAAACUGGGAGACUUGAGUGCAGAAGAGGAGAGUGGAACUCCAUGUGUAGCGGUGAAAUGCGUAGAUAUAUGGAAGAACACCAGUGGCGAAAGCGGCUCUCUGGUCUGUAACUGACGCUGAGGUUCGAAAGCGUGGGUAGCAAACAGGAUUAGAUACCCUGGUA
rnacentral:rRNA from 1 species